AAGAGGGAUAGAGACACGCUAGGGAGGGAGAAGAGAAGAAAAACCCUACCAUUAUUCAUCUUCUUCUUUUGAUUAUAUCUUGUGAUUUGGAGUUCCGAUUGGUGUGCCGUUUGCGGCUAUGCAUUCAUAUCGCUAAGCUCUUCAAUUCUAUUUAAACAAAGUGAUGUAAUAUAGUUUGGGCGAUUAGUGGACUUUAUCCCAAGUUUUAGUGAAUAAGAUACAAAUCGCAACCCACUUCGGUGAGUUUUGCGAAUGUGGUGACAGAGCAGAAGAUGGCUCUAUGUUUUGCUUUUGUUUUACUUCUUGUAGUUAUCUGUCUCUUUUGUAUAUAGCCUUAGAGGCUUUUAUUCUAUAAAUUUGAGAGAUAGGAUGUUAGCUAUUUUAACUUAAAAAUUCUGUUGUAUCUUUUGUUGAAAACUAGUCAGUCUAAACUCCGCGAGUUAUGACUAGUUCCUUUUUGGAUAUUGUGUGUGUGUGUGUGUAUAUAUAUAUAUAUAUAUCAUUUGUUUACUCUA